UACAGUGGGCAGAUGAACUGGAUGUAAAUACAGAAUUACCUAACUUUCCUUGACUAUGAAUUCAACAUUCAAGAAUCUUCUUCUGGUAGCAGGAGCGGCAGAGAGGACAGGCAUGGAAAGGAGGCCUGUCUCCCACGGAGAACUCCUCUAGUGCCAGCAGACACGCAUGGUGGAACACGUGUGAGCAGGACAGGAGGGCCAUCUCUCUGGAACGCCGGCCCGCGCCCACGCGCUGACCGCCAGCAGCGGAGAGAGGGGCCAGGCAGAUGGAGCACUCGUGGGUCUCCCGGCGCAGAGCCUGCGGCACACAGGACGGGAAGAGGCCACGCGGGUUAGUUUCAUCACAGCAGAAAGUUACUUCAACUGAAAUGCGAACCACGUGCCCCGAGACAUGGGUCUUCGAAACAUGCGGAAGUUUCAUUCUGUGUUAAAAUCACAGGCAUUAUAUAUAUAUAUA
rnacentral:sRNA from 1 species